CAAGCCCUCCUUGGCUUCUCCGUGUCGCGCACCUCGCCUUCUCUUCGUCACACUCCUUACCAGAACUCGAAUCAAUGGUGAGGUGCAUGUCGUUGUGUAACCCAUCUUCAGCUCUGUCUCUUUCACUCUUGAGAUACCUGCUGUUGGAUUCCAUGUGCUGUUGCCGAUCUACAGUUUGUGCGUGCGACUGUGAGAGAGAGAGAGCAAGGGAACCAGCGAUGGAGCGAGAGAAAGAGAGAGUGAGCUUGGAGGGAGGGAGAGUGAUUCUGGUGCCGUACAUGAACGAACACGUUCCAAAAUACCAUGAGUGGAUGAAAGACCCAGCUCUCCUCCAAGCCACCGGCUCCGAGCCCCUCACCCUCGACCAGGAAUACUAGAUGCAGCUUACCUGGACCCAAGACCCCAACAAGCAGACUUUCAUUGUAUUGGAUAAGCAAUUGGUUGUGGGAGAGUUCAACCAUGGAGAGCCUCAUGUGGAAGGUUAGCCAAAUUUACAGUCAAAUUUACAGUCUUUCUUCACAAAAUUACCUUAUGAUUGGUUGCUGAGAAAAAUUAUGGAGACAUUCAAAUGAUUACUUAAGAACAGUUGGUUGGAUGGUUUUGGAUGAAAUCAUGAGAAGUGUUUAGUAAAUUUUGUUCUUAAUUUUACUAAGAUUUUGAGUUUUUUUUUUCCUCUGCAAAUUUCGAUUAAAUUGCUUGCAAUUGAACUAUUUUGUAAUUUUCUAUAAAACUCCCUGUAUAUUUAUUAUUUGUUUCCAAUAGCAGGUAAUUAGGUAUUGUAUUUUUUGAAAACUCCGAUUAAUUUUUUCAUGUUCUUCUUUUCUGGUAGGAAGAUUAGGGAUAAGCUCUGUACCCAAACUCGAGAGAGAGAAAGGGCAAUCUGUUGGCGCCAAAUCCCAACACGAUCUCUGGAAAAGAAAAGUGGAACACAUAGCGGAAGAGGCUCAGUCUUUGAAGGAGAGUUUGGAUAGGUAUGAUGCGAGGAAUCAGAAGAGGGUGACGAAGUGAGAGAGAGGGCAGAGUUGCUUGGAAGAGCCAAUGGAGAUGGUGCUCAUGUUAUGAGAAUCUUCGACAAGGAGGCGCAAGCAGGGGACUCAGUUCGUAACUCUGCUCACAUGCUUGAAGAAACCAAUGCUAUUGGGGAAACUAUUCUCAGGAAAUAUGCAGAACAGAGGGAAUUUCUAAAGUAGAUAUGAGCAUCCUCCCUUCACUUCCUAGAUCAUUGGUUGGUUCUUCUUGCUUGGUUUAAUUGGGUAAAUUAUUAAUUUCAUGUAUUGAUACAAUCUCAUGUGAGAAAUUAAUAAAGCUUGCAUUUUUAAUUUGUUGGUGUGUUAUUAUUGAUUAGUUGGUUUGAUUGAGUAGUUAUAUAUUAAUUUUUUAGCAAUAACGUACUAAUGGCAUUCCAGAGCUGGUUAUCUAACAAAUUUGGUAGCAAAAUAAUUUCAAUGUUGGCGCUUUGUGGAUUUUGCAUAUUGUUACGGCUUCUUGAGACCUCAUCAUCUGUAUUCUAUGUGUUUCCGUUUUGUGCAGACGAUAGUUCAAAUGUGUCAAUGGUUCUCGAAAUGUGAUUACAAGUUUACGUACAUUCAGUCUACCAACAACAUUUCUUUGCACACAACUCAGACACAUGGAUAUGUUCCAAUCUCUGCGACAAGCGAGGCCACUACCAUAGGCGAAUAUCUUCAUACAUGUGAACUAGGUGCACGGUUUUUUGGGACGAGUUAGGAAGAUCCACAUGAAAACAGCAUAGAAGAUAGAGAACUGGAAAUACUACAUUUAAGGAAAAGCCUGAAAUAAUGUUGUCGAGUGUUAUACUGAAGCUAUCAGAUUGAACAUGAUGUGUGCAACUUAUGAUUGCAACCGUGCAACUGCUUACUUGGAGGUAAUAGUCAUUCUAUUGCAUUCAUAUCUUUAGAAUCUUUGUUUUUAUAACUAUUGGUGAAAGCACUGCAGACCAAAUCAUGUUAUAUAUGCUUAUUGUAAACAGUUUUGUUUGUAAAGGGACAGCUGGGUGGUUUGGCAUUAGUUGCUGUUAUCCAGAUUUUGUAUCUUUAUGUGGAAAUGAGUCGUAGCUGGUAAAUGAGAAGCAGAGUAAGCAAAUUACGGAGAUACCUCCAGAAGAGUACAAAAUGCCACGGGUAUGGAUUGACUUAUAAAUGACUGGUGAGGGUAAAAUAAAUCCUUGGAGUGAAGCUCCUUAUAAGGAUGCUGCAAAGAGAACGGCAUGUGGGAAUUUACCUCUUAAUGCAUUUUUGUCUGAGGUAUCUUCGUUUUCAUUGC